GGGGCUGAUUCUGGAUUCGACGGGAUUUGCGAAACCCAAGGUGCAUGCCGAGGGGCGGUUGGCCUCGUAAAAAGCCGCAAAAAAAUAGUCGCAAACGACGAAACCUACGCUUUAGCAGCUUAAUAACCUGCUUAGAGCCCUCUCUCCCUAGCCUCCGCUCUUAGGACGGGGAUCAAGAGAGGUCAAACCCAAAAGAGAUCGCGUGGAUGCCCUGCCUGGGGUUGAAGCGUUAAAACAAAUCAGGCUAGUCUGGUAGUGGCGUGUCCGUCCGCAGGUGCCAGGCGAAUGUAAAGACUGACUAAGCAUGUAGUACCGAGGAUGUAGGAAUUUCGGACGCGGGUUCAACUCCCGCCAGCUCCACCA
rnacentral:tmRNA from 7 species